CCCACAGGUACAGGGGACACAAAGAGAGCUGCCUGAGGAUUACCCAAGAGUCACCCAAUUCCAGAGCAAUCUAUGAGGAAGUCCAGGUCACCCAACAGCCAGUUCCAGCAGUUUGGCCAACUCCACCUCCUCCUUGGUACACCUGGUCUCAUAGACUCACCAUUUCCCAGCUUCCGAGGUGUUUGGCUUCCUCUUCACAGAGUACCAAAGGGUGAAUAUUCGGAGACCCUCUCUGCAGCAGUGCCUGGCUACCAUUAUGACGUGAAGAUCUCAAAGGAUUAUGUAAUGUUGCCACAGGUGUGCCUGGUUGGACAGACGUCACAAAGCUGUAGCCAAUCAGUAUCUUCCAUAGCAGGGGACGAGGUUAGCGAUUGAGAGGCCUGGCUGGGGCAGAUCUGAAUCGUCCUGGUCCAAGGCCCUGACUUCCCAGCAGUCACUUUUGCGUUCCUGCAGAAAUCCUGCGAUCAGGAGCUUGUAGUAAUUUAAUGAAGAAUGGAAUCUCUAACUUCAGUUAGGGAAAAUGGGACCACUGUUCAUUCUGGCUACUUUCUGCUGAGCAGAGUCAUCAUGGGGAACUGGCAGCCAGGGACUGCAUCAGUGGGAAUCAUCUAAGGGCUCACACUAAUAAGGUUUUGAGACAAACAUCCACAGACAUCCCUCCUCUCUUCCUACAGUGUUUUCACAAGUAGGGAUAUUCACAGUUCCAAAGAAAAAUAGCUUUCUUGCUUAGCUGAUUGUAAUGCUAUUCACUCUGGGAGCUGAUCACCUAAGAAGGUUCAGUGUGCCAAAAUCCAACCAGAAGUUUCCAGGACUCCAGCGGCUCCUUCACUUGUCUUUCUGUGAGGGGAUGGAUGCAUUUGUUUAUGAGAUCCAUUCCUCUUCUGGGAUUACUCUGCCAGUCCAUAGCCCCAGGAGAGGCAGGCGAUGAGGGGGAUGAAUGAGAAGACAGGGCAAGGAGAAAGAAAGGGUGAGAUUUCUGAAUAAGACAGGGAGGUCCAGGUUCACAAACCACUCUUUACAAACUGCAGAUGUACCCACCCAAACUAGGGGAGGAAGGCGAGAGCUCAGAAGAGACUGUGGACACUGGGUGGGACACAGAACAACAGACUCACCUAUGGACAUUUCCCACCAUCCUAACACUAGAAGGUGCUUAAAAAGUUGCUGUUCAGAACUGUUCUGAAAACACAUCUAAAAUAUGUCUGUAGUCAUCUUAAAAAAUAAAAGGUAUUAUCAGAUAUAAGCAUUUGAAGUAUCUCUGAAGUGGAAUUGAAAAGUAGCCUGGCAGAGGAGAGGAAAGGAAAGAGGAAGAAGUAAUGAAAAGAGAGAGAAAGUCCAGAGUACAAUGGGAAAGGCAAGAAAACUGGCAAGAAAACAAACAUCUAAGGUACAAGCAAAAGCAGUUCUCUUUGUCAUUUUAUGUGAUGGUUUUAAAGACUCAAAUCCAGACUCUUGCAACACUGAAGCACGGGCAAAAUCCAAAGCCAGGGAGGAAAGACAGAGGGUACAGAACGUGAAUAAUGCAGAAACCACCAAACCUCUGUAUCCCUUACCAGGAUCCCCCAGCAGGAAGUUAUUGGUGGGCUGAUAUUUGGUUUGGGACAGAUCUGAGGGAGGAUGGAAUGGGUCUCAACAGAAAAAUGGCCAACUGUUUCCACUAUGGACUGCUUCGUUCUACAGAAAUACUCUCAGGACCUUCAAUCUGAUCUAAAUGAGAAGUGUAACAGAAGAAAGGAGGAGAAAUGGUCAGAUGAAGCUCACCAUUUGGCAACCAGAGGAAGGGGGAGGUGCAAACUGUGAUGGGAACUGCUGGCACUGCCCCUUUCGUCUUUCCACUGGGGAUCCCAUUGGGAUAUUUUCAUGUCAGUGUAUAAUUGUUUCUUUUUUUUUUUUUGGACAGGCAGAGUGGACAGUGAGAGAGAGAGACAGAGAGAAAGGUCUUCCUUUUGCCGUUGGUUCACCCUCCAAUGGUCGCGGCUGGCGCACUGCGGCCAGCGCAUCGCGCUGAUCCGAAGGCAGGAGCCAGGUACUUAUCCUGGUCUCCCAUGGGGUGCAGGGCCUAAGGACUUGGGCCAUCCUCCACUGCACUCCCUGGCCACAGCAGAGAGCUGGCCUGUAGAGGGGCAACCGGGACAGAAUCUGGCGCCCCAACCGGGACUAGAACCCCAUGUGCCGGCGCCGCAAGGUGGAGGAUUAGCCUAUUGAGCCACGGCGCCGGCCUAUAAUUGUUUUGAUUUGGGGAUGGAAUUUCACUGGAUGGGUGCAUCAUAGUUUAUACAUUCACCUUUGAAAAGACCGUGUAUAGAAUUUUCUGUUGACUGUUAAAUAGUAGUAGAUUUGCUGGGUAAAGUGGUAAGUACAGUUUUAACUUCAGAAUUGACUGUCAAACUAUUUUUCAAAGUAACUGCACCACACCAUUUUGCAUUUGCAAAAGCAAGGAGUGAAAAUGUUUGUUGUCUUGCUUCUCCUUAUUCACUAUAAUUCUUCCUCCUCCUAGUACUCUUCUUUACCUAUUUGUAUAAGUGUAUAGUAUUAUCACAUUGUGGACUCAUUUGAAAUCUGUGUUUAAAACUUCUUAUGUACUUAGAUGUUUACCACCAACCAUAUACCCUAUUUGCUGAAAUCUUUGUUCUUGUUCUUUGGUGAUUUCUAAAAUAGGUUUUUGCAAAAAGAAAAAAGAAGCAUUUGCUUAUAAGAUAGAGAAACAGAAGAAGUGGUAGAGGGAAAGAGGGAAGGAUGGGAUUGUAGCAUCCUAACUGUCAUCAUAAUACUAGGCUGAAUAGCACAAUGGCCUAGGUUGUAUUUUAAUUGUUAACUGUUAGUAUUUACAAUAAUAUAAACAUUUUAAUGUUUUAGCUUGUAAACUGGAAAUGUAAAUAGAAGGCACAUAAAUCUAGAGGUAAAUGAAUUAUUGUAUAUAAAGCACUUUAUAUAUAACGUAUUCUCAAUGCAUAGCAUCUAUUAACUGUUUUAAUGCCCAUUCCAGGAGAAUAUAAUGUGCCUGUGCAUUUACUAAGGUUUUUAAAAGAUUUAUUUAUUUGGAAGGCAGAGCCAAAGAAAAGUGGAGAGAGAGAGGGGGAUAGAGAGGCUUUUCAUCCACAGGGUUCGCUCUGUGAACUGCAACAUCCAGGUCUGGGCCAGACCAAAGCAAGAAGCCGGAAACUUCAUUCUGGUCUCCCAGCUGGGUGGCAGGGGCACAAUUACCUGAGCUAUCUUCCAUUGCCUCUUCAGGCACAUUACUAGGGGUCUGGAUUGGAAGUGAAGAAGCCAGAACUCAAACCAGCUUCAUUCACCACACCACAAUGCCAGACCAUAGAAUUAUAACUUUAGUUAAAGUAUCAGAAAUUUAUUACCGGAAAAUAAUCACUUUGGUAAUUAGACAACACUUUUGUUUACUUGUGACGUAUUUGGGUAAAACAAUAAUUAUAAAGAAAUAUGUACUUUUAUAUUUAAAGUGCUACUGUCUUAAUGUAUUAUUCUCUUUGACACAAAACUAUGUUUGUCUGUAAUAUGACACUUUCAUUUUGCCAUCUGAGUGUGUAGUAUUAAUGGAAAAAAGGCAGUUUAGGUGCAUGGCCAGUCAUUGGAUUGCUGGGUCAUAUGGCAAGUCUAUUUCUAGUUUUUUUGUUUGUUUUUAGUUUUUUUUUUGUUUGUUGUUGUUUUUGUUUAAGAAAUCCCCACACUUGUGCUCACUUUGGCAGCACAUACACUAAAAAAAGAAAUAUCCACAAUGUUUUCCACAAUGACUGCAAAUACACAUUUCCACCAACAGUGUAUAAGUGUUCCCCUUUGUCUACAUCUUCACCAGAAUUUGUUAUUCUCUGUGUUUUGAAUUUUAAACAUUUUACCUGGGUGAGAUGAUAUCUCGUGGUUUUGAUUUGCAUUUCCCCAAUGGCUAGUGAUGUUGAGCAUUUUUCAAAUAUUUGUUAGCCAUCUGUAUUUCUUCAUUUGAGGAAUGUCUACUGAAAUUCUUUGCUCAUUUAACAACUGAUUUGGUUGGUUUUUUAGGUGAGUUUCUUUUUUAAGUUGAUGAUAUAUUCAGGAUAUUAAUCUUUGUCAGAUUGGUGGCUUGCAACAUUUUUUCCAUUUUGUUUGGUGUCUCUUCAUUCUUGAUCAUUUCAUUUGCUGUGCAAAAGCUUCUAAGUUUAGUAUAGUCCCAUUUAUUUAGUGUGACUUUUGUUGUCUGUGUUUUGGGGGUCUUUCCCAAGAAGUCAUACCCUAUAAGACCAAUGUCUUAGAGGGUUUCCCUACAUUUUCUUCCAGUAACUUCACUGUCUCAGGUCUUAAAUGUCUUGGAAACUGGCUGGCGCCGCGGCUCACUAGUCUAAUCAUCUGCCCGGGGCGCUGGUUCUGUCCCAGUUGCUCCUCUUCCAGUCCAGCUCUCUGCUGUGGCCCAGGAAGGCAGUGGAGGAUGGCCCAAGUGCUUGGGCCCUGCACCUGCAUAGGAGACCAGGAGGAAGCACCUGGCUCCUGGCUUCGGUGAAGCGUGCCGGCCAUAGAGGCCAUUUGGGGGGUGAGUCAAUGGAAGGAAGACCUCUCUGUCUCUCUCUCUCACUGUCUAACUCUGCUGGUCAAAAAAAAUGUCUUGGAAACAUCUUGAGUUGAUUUUUGUAUACAGUUAGAGGUAAGGAUAUAAUUUCAUUCGUCUACAUAUAUACAUCCAGUUUUGCCAGCAUCAUUUCUUGAAGUGAUUAUCCUUACUCUACCAUAUGAUCUAAGUCCACUCUUGUCAGAAGCUUUCUGUAUGUAUGCUGAUUGAUUUCUGGGCUUUUUAUUCUCAUCCAUUGAUCUGCAUAUCAGUUUUUAUGCCAGUACAAUGCUAUUUUAAUUACCAUAGCUUUGUAGGAUGCUUUGAAGUCAGGUGUUGUGAUGCCUUGAGUUAGAUUUUUCUUGUUUAGCAUUGCUUUGGCUAUUCUGGGUCUUUUGUAAUUCCAUAUGAAUUUUAGGAUUGCUUUUUCUUGUUCUGUAGUGAAUAUCAUUGUUUUUUAUUGAUAAUGAUUCCAUUGAAUUUUCUGAUUGCUUUAGGCAAUGUAGAUAUUUUAAUGAUAUUGUUUCUUCUGAUCAAUGAGCAAGGAAUAUUUUUCCACUUUUUGUGUGUCCUUGAUGAUUUCUUUCAUAAAUGUUUGAUAAUUUUCACUGUAGAGAUCUUCCACUUCUUUGUUUAAAUUUGUUCUAAACAUUUGAUUUUUUGUGGCUAUUGUGAAUGGCAUUUCUUUCUUGAUUUCUCUUUCUGUGAGUUCAUCAUUAGCAUACAAAAAUAAGCCUACUAGGUUGUUUUUAUGUUUGUAACCUGCAACUUUACUGAACCGAUUUCUCAAUUCUAAUGCUUUUUGGUGGAGUGUUUAGGUUUUUCCAUGUACAACAUAAUGUCAUCUUGAAACAUGGAAAUUGUGACUUCUUGUUUUCUAAUUUUGAUGUCCUUUAUUUCUUUCUGUCCCAUAAUUGUUCUUGCUAAAACUUUCUGUACAAUAUUGAUAAGAGUGGAGAAAGCAGACACCUUGUCUUGUAGAUCCGAGGGGAAGUGCAUUCAGAUUUCCCCCAUUCUGUAUGAUAUUGGCUGUUGGCUUGCCAUUUAUUUCUUCUAUAAUAGUUAGGAGUGUUCCAUUUGUAUGUAGUUUGUGGAGAGUUUUUAUCAUGCAGGUGUGUUGAAUCUUCUCAAAUGCUUUCUCUACGUCUAUUGAAAUGACCAUAUGUUUUUCUGUUCUUCUUUCUGUUAAUAUAAUUUAUGUUAGUUUUAAAAAUAUCUAUUUAUUUGAAAGGUGGAGACAU